rnacentral:rRNA from 1 species
UGGUGCAUGGUUGUCGUCAGCUCGUGUCGUGAGAUGUUGGGUUAAGUCCCGCAACGAGCGCAACCCUUAUCUUCAGUAGCCAGCAAUUCGGUUGGGCACUCUGGAGAGACUGCCAGGGAUAACCUGGAGGAAGGUGGGGAUGACGUCAAAUCAUCAUGCCCCUUAUGAUUUGGGCUACACACGUGCUACAAUGGCGUAAACAAAGGGAAGCAGCCCUGUGAAGGUGAGCAAAUCCCAAAAAUAACGUCUCAGUUCGGAUUGUAGUCUGCAACUCGACUACAUGAAGCUGGAAUCGCUAGUAAUCGCGAAUCAGAAUGUCGCGGUGAAUACGUUCCCGGGUCUUGUACACACCGCCCGUCACACCAUGGGAGUCGGAAAUGCCCGAAGUCAGUGACCCAACCGUAAGGAGGGAGCUGCCGAAGGUGGAGCCGGUAACUGGGGUGAAGUCGUAACAAGGUAGCCGUAUCGGAAGGUGCGGUUGGAUCACCUC